AUUGAACGCUGGCGGCAGGCCUAACACAUGCAAGUCGCACGAGUGGCGGACGGGUGAGUAAUGUCUGGGAAACUGCCCGCUGGAGGGGGAUAACGACUGGAAACGGUAGCUAAUACCGCAUACCCUCAGAUGUGCCCAGAAGGGAUUAGCUAGUAGGGGUGGUAACGGCGCACCUAGGCGACGAUCCCUAGCUGGUCUGAGAGGAGGACCAGCGACACUGGAACUGAGACACGGUCCAGCCUCCUACGGGAGGCAGCAGUGGGGAAUAUUGCACAAUGGGCGCAAGCCUGAUGCAGCCAUGCCGCGUGUAUGAAGAAGGCCUUCGGGUUGUAAAGUACUUUCAGCGAGGAGGCGUUACUCGCAGAAGAAGCACCGGCUAACUCCGUGCCAGCCGCCGCGGUAAUAC
rnacentral:rRNA from 1 species